CUACAGAGACGUUUUUAACAAGUAUUACAGAAAGAGCACCAGCUACCAAAAAGAGUUGCCAGGGCCAGAAGGAGCCAUCAAUCGAAACAGUUUACAUUUCAAAGUUUUUCCAAGAAGAGUGAAAACGUCUCCCCUCCUUGAUGGGAAACGGAGGAGCUACAGCUGAGGAGGAAUCCAUGAGCUGCCUUCUCCCCCAGACUUCCGUCUCCAGAGCAGCCCUCUAAGCCUGAGCCCGGUGCCCACAGGUACAGAGCGGGCCAGCAAGACAUACCUCUCCUGGGGUCAGUGCGUGCCCUGAGCAGCUUGCAAGGCCGAAGUGUUAGGAUUAAAUUCUUCUUCUUCCUGUGAGUUUCAUUGUUCAGAGAGGAGCCUUUUCAUUCUGAGGACUCUGUAGGAAUAUCGGGUCCCUUCAUUUCUCCUGCCAUGCUUCUUAAGUCGCUCAAGGGGCUAUCCUACCCAUUUCUACUUGACAAAGUCCAGGAAUUGACCCUUGUCUCUGCCUUGUUUAUGUCCUGGGAAUGGAUGCUACCAAUGCUAUAUGUUAAGCAAAAUUUAUGUGUGUGCUUUAAUUGUUAUAAGAUAGUAGGAAAAGUUUGCAUACUCGUCUCUGCUGGGGAGGAACCAUACCUCCUCCAAGAUCAAUUUUCAAAAGGUGGAAAAUAGACACAUACUUUUGUUUGAGAUUUUCAAUUUUUUAUUCAUUUUUUUCAUGUUAUUUCUAAGCACAAAAUCUGAUUUUUUCUGAAUACACUGGAAUAAAAUGCCCAUUUUUUUUUUACAUGCAGUAACUAGAAGCAGGCAAAUGCAAGUACAAAACCAAGAAGAAAAUCAACUUCACAGUUAAGUCUUGAGGCAAAGGAUAAGAACAGUGCAACGCUUUGCCACUGACAAAUGUUAUUGUGCAUCCUCCUCCAUACAGCAUGCCCAAGAUGCCGGCAACCCACCACAUACCCAUGACCAACAGGAAAUUUGUGCAACCAUAGCGAAGACGCAGGUGCCCCAAUAACCCAGAAGUACUAGGGGCCUUUGUCUUCAGUUGCAAUAUAAACAGGACAGACGUGAGAAAACAAAAGGGUGGGCCUUCUAUUUUUUGAGCAUACAAAUGCUGCUCAUCAUGUCUGCAAAAAGUCCAAGCACUUUCUUAGAUUGACUUAUUGAUAUAAAUUACACAGUAUCUCUGGAAAUUGUCGACAAUUUCUGUAUCAACAUCCUUUGCAAAUACCACCGGGUCUGGGUGAACUCACUCUGACCUUCUGGUCCGAGGCCGUCACUGUGUGAUGUACAUAAUUCUCUCAACACUGAUCCAUUACUUCUGCUCGGUGUUGGGGGUCAGGCCAAUAGUGUAAAGUCAAAGAUAAUUAGCAGCCCUAUCAAUAACCAGCUGCAGGAUUGCUGCCUAAGUGACAGGGCAGAAAAGCCAAGAGGAGGUAGCGAUAUAAAGUGGAAGGGAAGUGCCGGCGUAUUCUCCGGUUCGGGCGGCUGCUAUGGACUAUCAGCAUCACCAGGAGACCUCAUUGCAUUAGCAUAAAUUCAAAUGACAAAUGCACAGUGCUAUUCAGAGACUCAUUAAUUUGCAGUGGGUGCAGUGCUCAUGACAUAUUAGUGCAAAAUUCAAAUGUCUUUGUAGCAAUGCGAAUUUAGUUGUGAGACCAAAGUCGCUAAAAUGAAAAUGUGUGGGUUUUUUUAGCAGUUUAUUAAAUUAUGAACUGUGAUGACUAUAUCCGUGCAUCUUUUUAAGCAGAUGAGGUCCAGCGUGCUCCAGCGGCAAAACGCAUGGUUUGUGUUGAUAUUUUCCUGUCAGACAAUUUCCUAGCCUCGGAUAAUAUACCAGACAGCUCUGAGCUCUGCUGCAUACGGACUGAGAGCGCCCCCUUCUGGACAAAUGGCAAGGACACUCGAAAAAGCGGACCAGACCAUUUAUUGUUUUUCUUUACGUAUUUUUAACAGGUUUUGAUACAAAGAAUUUCAGUACCCACCUCAAACCCAAAGGAAACGACUUAGAAUCACCUACUGACACAAUUCUUGGAGUUAUCAAUUGCUAGAAAUUCAGAAAGCUUGCCUUGUUAAACGGUUUGCUGCUUUAAUCGAAAGACUAGAUUUUCCUGCAUCAUACUAGACAAAGGGUAGCUGUAGUCAGAAAGCCUGGAUAAAAAAUAAAGCAGUCAAGAAAACAGGGACUAGGAGUGUCGUGAACAUGAAGGGAGUCCACAGAAGAAACCAAAAGAGCAGAAGCAGACGAAUGGAACAAUCAGAAGAUCCCUAAAAGAUCAAUGCAAGCCCUAUUCCAGAGAGCAAGCUCCUGACUCAGAAGUGGAGCAGCCCUGUCUGACAGGAAGGAAGGGUGAAGAGGUAACUGUGGGAUCGUUGCUAAGUAGACGCUGGAACAACUGUGGACUCCACCAAGGAGGCUUCCAAGAGAACUGUGGAAGCCAUUUAAAAGGCCAGGCACUGUCAACCCCGGGAGCCAGCCCUGCCUCUGACAGCCCGAGGCAUCCUCUAAAAGACUGCUAGAAUAAGCAAGCCCACUGCUGCCCGGACCGGCCUAUGAGGCCACAGCCCAACAGCAGAGGAACCCAUCAAAUGAAAGCAAACUCCAGCAGCAAGGGUUGAACUGAUGCAGAAGCUCUUGUCGGGAGGGCUGGAGAAGAGCGUCCCUCUUCCUCGGCAGGUCAGUCUGCAGAAUCCCUCCAGUUCCUGCGCAGUCUAGGAAACUGCUCAGCUCUUUGGUAUGCACCAUUGUACUUCUCACCAAGCUGCUUCGUGGAGUCCUGAGCCAGUUCUAAAUUAACCCAGCAGAGAAAAAGCUAGUGACAGCCCUCGCAGGCCGAGCCAGAGGGCUGGUUAUCCCAGCUACAUAAAUACAGUAUUGUCUUGCUUUUGUUUCUGUUUUAAAAAUACCAUGAAGGGAUUUUUAAAACGUGCAGGCGAAGCCUGAAUCCCCACUGUAUGGCUCUCUGUCCAUUUUAUGUCUCUCACUUGCAGACCUCAUCGGUUAGACUGUGCUAUUUACCACUGAAAGGCCUUAUACCGCAGAAAGGAGUGUUGUCCAAGCUUUUGUUCUGAUACUUUAUUCCAUAAGUGAAUCCGUGUUAUGAGGGAUGCUGAUGGUCAAAUAGUCCUGAACGCUGCUGCUACAUCUUGGACAUCUUCAGCAGCAUCCUUUUGCUUCCUAAAGCUUCCCAGCACUGCCCGUCAUUCUUCACUUAUAUUCAUCUUUCACAAAGAAAACAGAACUAAGGAAAAGCUUCGAGAUAUUUAUGUUUUCUUUAUUUAGCUUGGAGAUAAAGGAAAAAUACAGCGUUGGAGGGGGGCGCACUAGAGUGACUAGGAAUAAAGUUCUCCAUCAAUAAAAUCUUUGAGAGGAAAAUUAGCAGGGCAUCCGGAAUAGCUUCAACAUUCUGUUUAAGGGCAAGGGGCCAGAAAAGGUAACUUCUUUUUCAAGUGAUUCUAAUUUUCAAUUUCUCACAUGCCACAUUUAUGCAUUCGCAUUAAAUGGCAAACAUUAAAAAUAACUCCUCUCAGUUGAUCAUCACCCCAAUCCAAACCCAGAUCUGCUCCGAGCAGAGAAUCACUGUUGGCAGUUCCCAGUUCAUUUUUCUAAACUAGUCCCCGUGUGUCUACAAAGAUACAUGGAAGUGCACAUACAUAAUUAGUGCAUCAGAACACCAGAAUAUAGUAUAAUUAUAAUUUGUUUGCUUUUCCAUGAACUUUUAAUUCUAGGGUGGCAUAAUUUAAUUAUUCUGAGCAAAAUAAAACAUUGUUUGGAAUUAUUGGCCUUUACCCUACCAUUGAGUUUUGCUUUUGAAACAACAGACAGAACAUACCUAGCUUCAGGCUUGCCUGAAACAAAAAAACCAUACCAUUAUUUACACUCAGACUCUUCAUAAAUGUGUGGCUGACGACCCUCAAGUUGAGUGCACACAAGCCAUUGAAAGGGUUGAACCCUGUACUGUCCUGCCAGGGCUUGCUGGGAAGAGAGCUGUCAGUAUUGCUGUACUUGUUAAGUGAAUUUGUGUUGCAGCUAUUUGUGUGAGUCCCCUUGGAGGUCCUUGACCAAGGAGGUUUAGUCCAUGGAAACUUCAAAUAAAUGGUCAGUCACUUGAAGACCGCCACAGUCUUGACCUUUUUUCAACUUCAAAUAUUUGGGGACCGCUCAGUAUGAUGGUUAGAUUAGAAAUGGGAAGACUUAAGGGAAUGGUUGGAAAGGAGAGUGGAUGGCUGUGUGUAGCAAUCUUGUUUUCUUUACAUAAUGUAACACACUAAUAGACGACAUUUUUCUUUGCUUUCUGCUGUUAACUUUGAAAAUAAGCAAGUUACUGUCCAAAUCAGAGCCAAAAACACCACAGGAUUUCUGGCUGUGAAGGGACACUUCAUGCACAAAUGUGGGAAAGGAAAAAGUUGAUAAACAGCCAGUUGGGAAGUGUGAAGAGAUUAUUUUUAUUUCAUGGUGUUUUCAGUGUAUAGUAGCUCAGAUGUUCAAAAAUGCAUCACUGUGCCUGCAAGUUUACAGUUCCUAUAGUCGAUACAAUCCAGUGUAGUAGAACGUAAAAUGCUUAUGGCGGCCCCUCCACCUUUCUCUCCCCUUGCCCACCUUCUCUGAUCCUAACCUAAUUGGGUUAAAACAGUUUCACCGAAGUCCAGCUUAGACAGGUUGAGGUUUUAAUGAAAGAGUCUGUGACACGUGGUCCCUAAGACAGAUGCUGAACCUCCGCUGCUCUCUCUCUCUCUGGUUAUUUUUGUUUCUCCUCUAGUCAAAAGAGAGCGGCAGGAUAAUGUCUCCCUGACUGACCAUUCUCCUCCCCACAGUGACCACCAAAGUAUUACGAUCAGACCUUGAGGUUUACAAUGAUAGUGUCUGAACAGGGCAGAGGGGGGAACUGAACAAAUUACAGUCUGCAUUCCCAAUGAUGAUUCUGUUAUCUGAAAAAGAAAAGUUGAUAUAAAUGUACUCACGCCUUCUGAUGUAAAUCAGGCUAGAUCUCUAAAACAGUAAAAUAUAAGGGCUGGCAAAAGACUUGAGCGGCGGCCUCUUUGCAAGGAUCCUGUACGUGGUGGACAGAGAUUUAGAGGAGCCCGACCUGCACCCGUCCUGGUCGACCGUUCUGCCUCUCUUUGUCACCGCCCCUAAUUAUUCUGUUAGUUAAGAUAUUGGCUUUAUUACUAGUUAUAGUCUGUGGUGAUUUCACAACACAGAAAGCUUUGAAAAUUACUGAAGGAAAAUUACAAUUGUCUUGAUUAGCAAAGGUAUGUUGCUUGUGAACCUAAAGGGAAGUAAAUAUUCUUACAAAACAAACGCCACGAUAAUGGGAAAAUACUGGAAAUAAUCAAAGUUCUCCUUGUAAAGAACAGUAAGUUUCUUCUGAUGUCCCAGAAUGAAGGUGUAUAGAAAUAUAAUAAACCGAACUUAGGAUAAUCAUGAUCACAGAUUGCACUUUUUAUUAUAUUCCAAUAUUUUUGUAUAUCCAGCACCACUAACUCAGCCCAAAAACUGCUUUAAGCAAAGAAUGUCUCACAGAUGAUAUCAAAGGCGUUCAGAUAUAUAGAAUGUAGGCAUAUAUUCUCAAAGACACUGUCAUUUUUGUAAAGCUGGAAAACAAUGUUAAAAUCUAAAUAUGGAUAACAAUUUCUCAGAUAAUUUCUGUAGGUAUUCCAUGUUUGUUCAUUGGACGACAAGCAAGAAAACCACCUUGUUUCUUGGACCCUCCACUGAAAAGAACCUAAACAAAUUACAGAAUUACCACUUUAAAUCUGGAUACUACUCAACCCUCUUCAAGCUUCUGCCACAAUAUUGAUAAAAUAGCCAGAAUCCCAUCUUUUCACUUUCCAGAGACAUGUGGCUCUCCUGUUCCUAGGCAAAGGGGGCUUAUUUCUAGUAGAUAAACUAUCUCAUAGAAAAAUAAAACUAAUUUCACAAAAAUAAGAAUACUGUUCCUAAGUGGAGAAAGAAUUGCACCAAAGCCACAUUUUAUCUAAUAUAAUUUAAUUAAAGCAAAAUUAUCAUUGCCCCUUUUCCUUUCCUCCGUCCAACCCCUUCCCUUCCCUCCCAGCUCCCUUUCAGCUUGGUGACCUCAGUUUCUUUAUUUUUGAUAUCGUUUGAGUCAGUGGACUCACUGGAGAAGUAAGGGACUGGAUAAUCAGUUUGUCUUCCAGGCUCUGCUUAGUGUAGACACAGUCAAGUCUACCCUGGUGGCAGCCUAGAGUGGCAGCUGCUUGAGGACAUGGCUCUUCACGUGGACAGCUAUCCCCACUCUCUGCCUUCAUGACCUGCCUGAGGACACCAUUAGAAGUAUCCUACUUAGAAACUAACUCCACGCUUCCUCAGAAAAUUAACUUAACAUUGCUAUACAUGGACUAAUGAUCUUUUUUUAAAGCCAUGUUUUUAUUAGUUAGAGGUGGGACUUCGUGUCUACUUUCCCCUCUCUGUGCUGGGAUUUUGUCUGGUUUGAGAUUGUGUGGGUUCUAUGUGUGCUGUCAUGGUCUCUGAGUUCGUAUAUGUAUCAGGCCUCUUGUGUCUGGAAGAUACUGUUUCCUGGGAGUCAUUCACCAGCUCUGUCUUGUAAAAUCUUUCCACUCCAUUUCCUCUUCCAUAUAGAUCCCUGCACCUUGAGCAGUGGGGUGUGGUAAAAAUACUUCAUUUAGGACUGAGUUUUCCAAAGUCCCUCACUCUCUGAACAUUGUCUAGUCAUGGCUCUCUGUGUUAGCUCCCAUCUACUGGAAAAAGUUUCUCUGGAAAGUUCUGCGCAUGUAUCAGUAUGGCAUUAAGAGUCACCUUGCUAAUUUUACAGAUAUGGAUGUUUUACUGGUGUGUAUUUCUGGUACCUUUAGAGGUAAGAAGAGGGCAACAAAUCCCCUGGGACUGGGGCAAUGGAUUCCUGUAAACCACCAUGUGGGCGUUGGAAAUCAGACCUGAAUCUUCUGCAAGAGCAGCUGGGCCUUCUCUCCACCCCUUGGACCAAUAAUCUUACCCCUAGGUAUAUAGCUCCCAAAGUUAAAAAUGUGUCCAAAGAACUCACACACAAAACAUUCAUAAACAAAAUACUCAAAACUGACAAAUGACGGAAACAAAGCAGAAGUUCAUCAACAGAUUCAUUGGCAGCAUGAAGACGGAAGACGCAGUGACGUGUUAUUCACCCUGAAACAUAGUGGAGUACGAUGCAUAAUACGGACGCAUCCUGCAAACAGUAUGCUGAGGAAGAGUCGUGCAUGCAUAGUCACGUGGCAUAUGUAUUCACUAGUACACAGAAUAGGAAAACACAUGGAGAAGCAAAUUUAGUCAUUGUGAGUAGCCGAGUAGCAUGAGAUACAGGCGACAGUUUCCCACUGCUUUAAGGUGAUGAAGAUGGCUUGUAACUGUACUGGGGCUGGUAGUUUCUCAGGGUUGUAGAGUCACCAAAAGCCACUGGAAAUUAUUAAAGUGGUGAGAAUUUUGCCUCAACAACAGUAAAAUGAAAGAAAGAAAGAAAGAAAGAAAGAAAGAAAGAAAGGAAGGAAGGAAGGAAGGAAGGAAGGAAGGAAGGAAGGAAGGAAGGAAGGAAGGAAGGAAGGAAGAAAGAAAAAGAAAGAAAGAAAGAAAGAAAGAAAGAAAGAAAGAAAGAAAGAAAGAAAGAAAGACUCAUUCUAACACAAAAUCUAAUCGGGCCCAGAAAGACCAGCUGCAGAGCACCUGGGACGUGGCAUCGGAGAUGUCUUGCAAACCCUGACCUGCUGUAGUCCCUUGAAGCGGGAUUGCAGGGCCAAAGUACAUCCAUCCAUCAUGACCCUAGACAUAAACAUGCUCCUAUGAGGACUUUUAUUAAAUAAGGAGGAGGAUUUCAGAAUAUUCCUUCCAAAUCCAGAACUUUCUACCUUCUAGCUGUUUGGCCAACGUUCAAAGUGCAUUUUACAGAGCAAGUGCAGAAGGGCUUCCUUAUAAGGUAACAAAUGAUUCCGGUUUCCUGCAGACUUCCAGUUUGCAUCCACCCACCUCAUGUUGUUAUCAGUAGUUUCCUCGUCACUCUCCUAAGUAUCCCAGUAUGAACCAUCAGCAGCACCGUCCCUGUUCAGGGUGAAUACUGCCACUCUCCCUUCCUCAUCUGUGUGACGGGCAUCUUGUCUGAGCAGGCUGUAACCCGCUUCCUAGCAUGUUACACGCACUGUGUCCUCCUACGUGCUCCUGGUCCGGGCACCUGUCGAACCUGUCUGCAGUCUCACUGUGACCUCUGCUCUUAGUCAUCCCCAUCCCAAGGUAGAGCCAAUCACUUACAAGAAACAAAAUGUUAGAAAUAGGUAACGUGCUAGGUGAAGUAGGAAAGCAGGCUUUUCUACAGAACAUAAGUUGAACAUAAUUUGAUCCAAACAUUAGCUUCAGUUUACGUCGGGCAAACUGUGAUGUUGCAACAAUAGUUAAUUUGUGAAGCAAAUCAAAGUGAUAACUUCACUCACAUGUAUGUGCUGCCAUGAGUGCCGAUAGAGAUUUCUCGCUGCCUCCUGCGAGCAGGAACUUCAUUCUGGGUAAAUAGAAGUCAUCUUAUUCCUUUGACCCUAUGUGCAGUCUCAAUCUCAUCUUUACAGUGAAUGGAUGAAAGAAAAAUGAGCUGAGAAGGCUGAAAUGGCCUGAGAGGUUCCCAGUGGAGACUGCCGCUGAACACAUACCAAAUUAACACAUUCCUCUUAAACAGGAAUGUGCCACCUGCUUCUUCCACCUGCCUUCUUCCUCCUGCCAUGUCUCUAUGUACUCAGAUGUGGAAUGAUGGCAAGUGUCCAUAUUUGACCAUCAAGUAAUCCUAAGCAAAAACUAACAGUCAGUGUUUGAGCUGGACGCCUUCUGUUGCAGCUGAGGUUUACACAGGCCAUGGUAAGACAAGAAGAGUUUGCUAUGAGAUUACCCAUUGCCCAGAGGCUGGCUCCCUCUCUCAACCUCCCCUGAAGUGGGUGGUCUAAAUCACUGCCCUUUGAGCUUAUUCAAAAUGUAUGAAUCUUCCAGCCUUGGCUUCCAUACAGCUCACCCUUACGCCAUUAUUUCACCCUAGCAUCCUAUUUCUUUUUACUAUCUUAAUUCAAAUAACUAGAAAAUGUCAAAUGGGUCCCACUGAUCAACACGAUUGUGUUUGGUGGUACCAAGGUCAUGGCAUCAACCAUGGAAUGCUGUCAUUGUUUCAGAUUCAUUGCUCCUUCUCAACAGCCCGGUCUAAGACAAGCAUCUCUUACCCAUUCACAGGGGAGAAAGGCUGAUCCUAUAGUACAACAGAAAUUCCUACCAGUCUCUGCCUCUCAAACAAGGGAAUCUUCCUCUGAAGGUGAGAUUUGUAUUCCUUCUCAUUCAUUCCGUUCACUCCCAUGAGAAUACCUUUACUGUUUCCACUAUAAUUUAUGUUGAACCAGAUUGUGAUUCACUCUUACUUUCAGCUACAUAAAAAAGUAUUUGGGACACCUCUCGUGGAUGGUCAACUUGAUUCUGCCCCCAACAGAUCACAUUUAAAUUAGCCAUCAGUCCUAGCUGAUGGAGACAAAAUGGGAACCUAUCUGGCCUAGGAAAAGCAGGUGUGUCUUUCAAGCACUCCCCCAUCCCUGAUUACGUCCUGUUUCCAUUCACUUGGCCAGCUCAGGAUUUUCAUGCUUCUCCAUUCAGUUCAAAUGAAUACUCAGGCAAAAUGCAUUUCACGUUUAUGUUUCCAUAACAUGCAGAAAUUUUAAAAACUCUGAUGUUGUGACAUUUGCAAGUGUUGGUGCAGGCUUUCCUUUAUGUUUUUUGUUUGUUUGUUUUUUCGGGGGUGUUUUUUCUGGUUUGAUUGGGUUUUUCCUUUCUUUUUUGUUUGUUUGUUUGUUUUUAGACUAUAAACAGGAAGAUGCAUCUUAAAGUUCUUUCUGUGGAAACAGAGGCCAGCCAGCUAUCAGGGACAAAGCACAUAACAGAUCUG